GGAUGCGAUCAUACCAGCACUAAAGCACCGGAUCCCAUCAGAACUCCGUAGUUAAGUGUGCUUGGGCGAGAGUAGCACUAGGAUGGGUGACCUCCUGGGAAGUCCUCGUGUUGCAUUCC
rnacentral:rRNA from 1 species